AUUGAACGCUGGCGGCAGGCCUAACACAUGCAAGUCGAGCGGAUGAAGGGAGCUUGCUCCUGGAUUCAGCGGCGGACGGGUGAGUAAUGCCUAGGAAUCUGCCUGGUAGUGGGGGAUAACGUCCGGAAACGGGCGCUAAUACCGCAUACGUCCUGAGGGAGAAAGUGGGGGAUCUUCGGACCUCACGCUAUCAGAUGAGCCUAGGUCGGAUUAGCUAGUUGGUGGGGUAAAGGCCUACCAAGGCGACGUUCCGUAACUGGUCUGAGAGGAUGAUCAGUCACACUGGAACUGAGACACGGUCCAGACUCCUAAGGGAGGCAGCAGUGGGGAAUAUUGGACAAUGGGCGAAAGCCUGAUCCAGCCAUGCCGCGUGUGUGAAGAAGGUCUUCGGAUUGUAAAGCACUUUAAGUUGGGAGGAAGGGCAGUAAGUUAAUACCUUGCUGUUUUGACGUUACCAACAGAAUAAGCACCGGCUAACUUCGUG
rnacentral:rRNA from 1 species